rnacentral:rRNA from 1 species
GUCUCAGUUCGGAUUGGAGUCUGCAACUCGACUCCAUGAAGCUGGAUUCGCUAGUAAUCGCGCAUCAGCCAUGGCGCGGUGAAUACGUUCCCGGGCCUUGUACACACCGCCCGUCAAGCCAUGGGAGCCGGGGGUGCCUGAAGUACGUGACCGCGAGGAGCGUCCUAGGGCAAAACUGGUGACUGGGGCUAAGUCGUAACAAGGUACC